rnacentral:piRNA from 1 species
UGGCCGCACCAGCAACAUCCGUGC